GGUCUGGUAGUUCAGUUGGUUAGAAUGCCGCCCUGUCACGGCGGAGGUCGCGGGUUCGAAUCCCCCUCCCGCUACCA
rnacentral:tRNA from 1 species